UUGUCUCAAAGAUUAAGCCAUGCAUGUCUCAGUACAAGCCAAAUUAAGGUGAAACCGCGAAAGGCUCAUUAAAUCAGUUAUGGUUCCUUAGAUCGUACCCACAUUUACUUGGAUAACUGUGGUAAUUCUAGAGCUAAUACAUGCAAACAGAGCUCCGACCGGAGACGGAAGGAGCGCUUUUAUUAGAUCAAAACCAAUCGGUGGCGGUUCCCGUCAUCGUACAACUUGGUGACUCUGAAUAACUUUACGCUGAUCGCACGGUCUCGCACCGGCGACGCAUCUUUCAAAUGUCUGCCUUAUCAACUGUCGAUGGUAGGUUCUGCGCCUACCAUGGUUGUAACGGGUAACGGGGAAUCAGGGUUCGAUUCCGGAGAGGGAGCCUGAGAAACGGCUACCACAUCCAAGGAAGGCAGCAGGCGCGCAAAUUACCCACUCCCGGCACGGGGAGGUAGUGACGAAAAAUAACGAUACGGGACUCAUCCGAGGCCCCGUAAUCGGAAUGAGUACACUCUAAACCCUUUAACGAGGAUCAAUUGGAGGGCAAGUCUGGUGCCAGCAGCCGCGGUAAUUCCAGCUCCAAUAGCGUAUAUUAAAGUUGUUGCGGUUAAAAAGCUCGUAGUCGAAUCUGUGUCCCGCGCCGCCGGUUCAUCGUUCGCGGUGUUAACUGGCGUGCCCGCGGGACGUCCUGCCGGUGGGCUUAGCUCGCGAGGGCGGCCCAACUCAAUCCCGCCGCGGUGCUCUUCAUUGAGUGUCGAGGUGGGCCGGCACGUUUACUUUGAACAAAUUAGAGUGCUUAAAGCAGGCUAAAACUUCGCCUGAAUACGUGUGCAUGGAAUAAUGGAAUAGGACCUCGGUUCUAUUUUGUUGGUUUUCGGAACCCCGAGGUAAUGAUUAAUAGGAACGGAUGGGGGCAUUCGUAUUGCGACGUUAGAGGUGAAAUUCUUGGAUCGUCGCAAGACGGACAGAAGCGAAAGCAUUUGCCAAAAACGCUUUCAUUGAUCAAGAACGAAAGUUAGAGGUUCGAAGGCGAUCAGAUACCGCCCUAGUUCUAACCAUAAACGAUGCCAGCUAGCGAUCCGCCGACGUUCCUCCGAUGACUCGGCGGGCAGCUUCCGGGAAACCAAAGCUUUUGGGUUCCGGGGGAAGUAUGGUUGCAAAGCUGAAACUUAAAGGAAUUGACGGAAGGGCACCACCAGGAGUGGAGCCUGCGGCUUAAUU
rnacentral:rRNA from 1 species